AGAUCCCAAGCAUCGUUAAAGAAGCAAGUAGAAAAUCCAUCCAGUCCCGGACUUUGUUCAUUAGGAAUAGAGAAAAGGGACUCGAUGAUUUCCUCACUACUAACUGGAACACAAAGUGAAUUUACUAAAACACCCUUAUGGCAUCAGAGUUACUAAAAAUCAUAUGAAGGCGUAAUGGUAUUUAAUAAUAUCUUUCGCUAAUUACUAAAAUAAAAUAAAAUAAAAAUAAAAAUAAAAAAUAUUUAAUUAAAAACUAACUACAACAUCAUAACUAUGUACAAUUGAAAAACAAGUCUCGACAAACAUCUUUAAAUAAUCCAUUUCAAAUCUCAAGUCCACAACUCCACAUUCUGAAUCAGC
rnacentral:lncRNA from 1 species